rnacentral:rRNA from 1 species
GUCGAACGCUCCGCAAGAGAGUGGCAGACGGUGAGUAACACGUGGGAAUCUUCCUAUCGGUACGGAAUAGCUCAGGGAAACUUGAGGUAAUACCGCAUACGCCCUUCGGGGGAAAGAUUUAUCGCCGAUAGAUGAGCCCGCGUCUGAUUAGCUAGUUGGUGGGGUAAUGGCCUACCAAGGCGACGAUCAGUAGCUGGUCUGAGAGGAUGACCAGCCACACUGGGACUGAGACACGGCCCAGACUCCUACGGGAGGCAGCAGUGGGGAAUAUUGGACAAUGGGCGCAAGCCUGAUCCAGCCAUGCCGCGUGAGUGACGAAGGUCUUCGGAUUGUAAAGCUCUUUUGCCAGGGACGAUAAUGACGGUACCUGGAGAAUAAGCCCCGGCUAACUUCGUGCCAGCAGCCGCGGUAAUACGAAGGGGGCUAGCGUUGUUCGGAAUUACUGGGCGUAAAGCGCACGUAGGCGGAUUUGUUAGUCAGGGGUGAAAUCCCGGGGCUCAACCUCGGAACUGCCUUUGAUACUGCAAGUCUAGAGUCCGGAAGAGGUGAGUGGAAUUCCUAGUGUAGAGGUGAAAUUCGUAGAUAUUAGGAAGAACACCAGUGGCGAAGGCGGCUCACUGGUCCGGUACUGACGCUGAG